GAUGAACGCUGGCGGCGUGCUUAACACAUGCAAGUCGAGCGAAGCACUUUGGAAAGAUUCUUCGGAUGAUUUCCUUUGUGACUGAGCGGCGGACGGGUGAGUAACGCGUGGGUAACCUGCCUCAUACAGGGGGAUAACAGUUAGAAAUGACUGCUAAUACCGCAUAAGACCACGGUACCGCAUGGUACAGUGGUAAAAACUCCGGUGGUAUGAGAUGGACCCGCGUCUGAUUAGGUAGUUGGUGGGGUAACGGCCUACCAAGCCGACGAUCAGUAGCCGACCUGAGAGGGUGACCGGCCACAUUGGGACUGAGACACGGCCCAGACUCCUACGGGAGGCAGCAGUGGGGAAUAUUGCACAAUGGAGGAAACUCUGAUGCAGCGACGCCGCGUGAAGGAUGAAGUAUUUCGGUAUGUAAACUUCUAUCAGCAGGGAAGAAAA
rnacentral:rRNA from 1 species